AGUCAGAUCUGUUCUUCUCUGUUACAAGCUGUUUUAUAUUAGUGAACAUUUUUUAAAUGUGCUUUUUUUGGGCUUCCUCCUGCCCUAUUUUGGUUCCUGUCUCCAUGUUUCUCAUGAAGUGUUUCAGUUCCUCAGCCACACGUUCUCUUGGCAUAGUUUUCGGGAACAUAAAUUUCAAGAUUGGCAAAGGGAUACUGUACCUUACCCAUUCCAUCUGAACAUUAUUACGAUGCCACAAAAUCACCUAUUUUCAUAAUAAAAUAUACCAUGCUUCUUUUUAUUAAUAAUUGAAAAUGAACAGAAAUAUUGUUAUUUGUUUGAGAAGGGCUCCAUUGUUUUUCUUUAGAAUGUUAAUUUCCUGCUUUGCAUUUCCUUCCUCAUAGAUAAAUGCAGAGAACAUGUCUCUUCUUGGGAAAAGUGGGCAUUCUUGAAGAAGUAAAAGAUUGACCUCAUUGUAUACAUUUAAUAAAUACUAUUUUUUUCCAAAGUAUGGUUAAUGACAGGUUGGAUAAUCUCUUGAUUUGGGAACUGAGUUCUACUACAUUUAAUACAAUCCCAAAUGACUAAGACGUGAACCAGAGAACACUGAGUCUGGAGGUUCGCAGUUUCUGGUAUCAUUUCUGUGGCUCAAAAGUGUGAGGGUCAAAGUUUCUCCGUUGUUUCUUACCAUCAUGAUUAUAACAUGGAUAACUGUGGAUCUACCCAUCACAUUCAAAUUCCAGGAAGGAAGCGGGAAAGAGAAAAGGCAAAGUCCAAGAGGCCAAGCCAGCCAAAUCUUUCCCUUUAAAGGGACUUUCCUAAAAAUCCUGCUUCUCUCUGGCCAGGAUGGUAUCACACAACCUCCUAGCUGCAAGGAAAUUGGGAAAUAUAUUUGUUUGUUUUUUUCAGCUGGGUAUAUUGCCACUUCCAGCAAAAGUAGGAAGGAAGAAAGGGAAAAUAGUUACUGAUCAAAAAAUUGGCACUCUGUACCCCUCCUUUUUAUUUAAUUUUUUGGCCUUUCCACAGCAUAUGGAAGUUCCCAGGCCACGGACUGAAUCUGAGCCACAGCUGUGAUGCUUCAGCUGUGGCAACACCGAAUCCUUAACCCACUGUGUCAGGCCAGGAAUCAAACCUGCAUGCCAGCACUCCAGGGACACUGCCGAUCCUGUUGCACCACAGAGAGAGCUCCACCACAACCUUUUCUUGGAAAAAUAUCAUCUUAUUUCAAGAUCAUGUCUGCAAGCUGAUGGUUGCUUUUUAAUUAUAAGAAUAAUAAAUGGGGCCUUCACAAAAUGGCCCCACCGCUGCUUUCAGUCCCUAGUGGACUGAGUUGUAAUUGCUGGUUGAAUUAUUCUGCUAUUACUAAAGCAAGUCGCAUUGCCUUCUCUUGGGGGAAUAGCUUUAGAAUAGCUUCUAAAAGAAAAAUAAAAGAAUUUAAAACACUACCUAUGCAAAACUGUAGUGAGUGGGUCUUAACGGUAUUUUUUAAAGUAUAUUUUCAUGGCUUACUUGUAAUAUAGUAGUUUUGGGGACACAAUAACUACCCACGCAUCAGAAGUUGCCCUUAUGACCAUUUCAGUGCAUAAGGUAUGGUGGUAGGAGAAUUGGCUUUGAAAUGAGACACACCUGGACUUGCAAUGUAGGUAAUAUUAAAAGCCUCCAAAGUGGUCUGCCUGCGUUUGCCCUUGCUAUUUAUAGACCAUUCUCAGCCAGCUGCAGAGAAGACCCUAAAUGAUGUCAGAUAAAGGUACCCUGCUCAAAACCCCCAGUGGCUCCUCAUCCAAAGAAGCCAAAAUCCUUACAAUGGCCUCCAAGGUCCUCUCCUUCUCUGCACACACUGACCCAACCCCCGAGUCUUUCUGACCUCUUUCCUGUCUUUUCUUCCUCUUCCCUCUGUUCCAGCCUAGCCUCCUUGCUGUUGCUCAAAGCCCACUCCCCCUCAGAGCUCUGCACUGCCUCUUCACUGCCUGUAGCACUUUCCCCUCUGAUACCCACAGGGCCCACCCCUCACCCUUUCAGGGCAUUUUUGAAGGUCACCUUUUUUAACGACUUCCUUUAAUCUGCAGAACAAGCUUCCUUUCAUCUUCUUUAAUUUUCUAUAGUACUUGCAUCUAUCACCACUAUCUUCUUAUUGCAUUUCAUUUCAUUUCAGUCGUAGAAGAGGAUUAAAAUCUUUACUCCUAGUCUAGUAUCUUAUUUUAAUUAUUUUUCUAAUUAAUACAGUAAAAAAAAAUUCAAACAGUUUAGGAGUUCCCGUCGUGGCGCAGCAGAAACUAAUCCGACUAGGAACCAUGAGGUUUUGGGUUUGAUCCCUGGCCUCGCUCAGUGAGUUAAGGAUCCAGCGUUGCCAUGAGCUGUGGAGUAGGUCACAGACGCAGCUCGAAUCCGGAGUUGCUGUGGCUCUGGCGUAGGCUGGCAGCUAUAGCUCCAAUUGGACCCCUAGCCUGGGAAUCUCCAUAUGCUGCAAGUGUGGCCCUGAAAAGACAAA
rnacentral:lncRNA from 1 species